rnacentral:rRNA from 1 species
CAGUAGCCGCGGUAAUACAGAGGGUGCAAGCGUUAAUCGGAAUUACUGGGCGUAAAGCGCGCGUAGGCGGUUUGUUAAGACGGAUGUGAAAGCCCCGGGCUCAACCUGGGAACUGCAUCCAAGACUGGCAAGCUAGAGUACGGUAGAGGGUGGUGGAAUUCCAUGUGUAGCGGUGAAAUGCGUAGAUAUAUGAAGGAACACCAAUGGCGAAGGCAACCACCUGGACUGAUACUGACACUCAUGUACGAAAGCGUGGGGAGCAAACAGGAUUAGAUACCCCAGUAGUCCCUGUCUCUUAUAA